GAUGUCAAAUUGUGGCUUUUUACCCAGGCUUUUAUAUGAUUGUCUCCACUGCUGCUUCUUGUAUUUUGUCCUUUUUUUUAAUGCUAGUGUUUUAAUUUAAUUUUUUUAAAAUCAGAUUUGUUUUUAUGUUUUUUAGCUCAAUAAUUUAAUGUGUCUUUUUUAUAAUCUUGUUUUUAAAUUUCAUUGUGACCUGCCUUGGGAUUUUCUUAAUAAAAGGCGGGGUAUAAGUUUAACAAUAAUACCUACAUACAUACAUACUGAAACCAUCACCACGGCCUUGCUUCAGCAACUGAAUAAUCUGUUCCCUGAGGUGACUGAUAAGCAGAAAGUCAUUGGUCAGAAUUAUGAUGGGGCUAGCAUCAUGCGAGGGGAACACGGAGGCAUGCAGAAGAGGGUCCGUGAUGUCUUUCCAAAUGCCCACUACGUCCAUUGCUAUGCCCAUCAACUUAACAUGGUCAUGCAGCAAGCAGUAUCACAGAUGAAGGAAGUGAAGGUUUUCUUUUCAGACCUUUCAGGGAUUCCGGCAUUCUUCUCAAGCAGAGAAGAGGCACGAUUGGAGGUUUGUUUGCUGAGAUACCUUCUCAAAGAAAGCUGCCCAGAGGGAAAUUCAUAGAAAGUAUGGUUCACAUCGCCAUGGAAGUUUGUGUCAUAAUUGUUGCACACGCAAAAGAACGUUUUGAAUUCACCAAGCAUCUGGCCAGUGCAACACUUGUAGAUGGAAAUUUGUUUCCAACACACAAACUAAGUUUUCCAUAGAACGAAAUCGAUGAAGCCAUUGAAGCCUGCCCAGUGCUGGAUAAGGACAGACUGAAGACGAAACUUUCAGUAUUGUAUGGAAGGCAAGAAUUUUACACUUCAAGAACUGUAUCCACACUGCUGCAUAAGAGAACAAUCUGGAAAAAACACUGGAGGAAGCUGUGAAGCUGCUACGAAUCCUGGUCACCAUGCCGAUGACAACAGCAGAGGCAGAGCAUUCAUUCUCAGUGUUGAAUAGAAUAACGACUUUCCUGCAAAACAGAAUGACAGAGGAAAGACUAUGGCAAUGCUGUCUAUCGAGAAAUGAAUGAUAGCAGAAAUCCUGGAUUUCAAAAAUCGGACAAUGGAUUUGUUCGCCACACAAAAAGACCAUCGUGCCAACCUCCUCUACAAAAAAUAAGAGGCAGCAGAAUUGCAAGCAACUCCUGGGACAGCAGAAGGAGAGAGUCCUCAGAAACCGAGGGCAGGUCCAGCAGCCACUUUGGAGCCACGCAGGAAACACCUCUCCUGACGGGCCAAGAGAAAGUCAAUAAAAGGAUUUAAUGGAGGACUGGGGUGGCUAUUGAGGGGAUACGGAGGCCACACACUUCUCACCACUGGAAUAAGAGCAAGUAUCAUACAGAACCCAUGCAGGCUGCACAUUUCCUCUCACGGUAGGAGCAAGAGGAUUGCAUGAUGGUAUGGGGGGAUUGAAUCCUUGCAUAGUACUUCUUGACCCCCUUUUCCCCUUGUAGCCUCCAAAUGCAGCAGGCAAGAAGAAGAAGUGGAUUUAAUGGAGGACUGGGGUGGCUAUGAGGGGAGGCGGACGCCACACACUUCUAAUCUCUGAAACAAGAGCAGAACUUCAGGAACCAUAGUAAGAAACGUUUCAGGGCUUAUAUUGCGCUCUCUCUCUCUCUCUCUCUCUCUCUCUCUCUCUCUCUCUCUAGCAAUGCCCCACUUGCAGCUCCAACCACAUAGUAGGUUUUGCCCACUUUGGCUCCGCCCCUCCACUGCCCACUUUGGCCCCACCCACCACAUGCCCUGCCUGGUGCCCACCCAAGCCCAGGAGUUACCAGCCGCCACUGCUUCCACAUAAAAGCUCUUUAAUGCUGCUGAUGCAUUGCUCUACAGAUCGAACAGCAGUUUUACUUACAGCGCUUAUUACUAUGCUUCAUCUUAAUUAACAUCUCACAAUCCCAUUCCUAUGGCAGAGGCCAAAGUGGUUGAUAUUGCUGAGUCAUGAUUAUAGCUUGAUGGCAAGGUAUGACUCUUGGGUGGCAGCAGUCCAACUUUAAUUCUCCAACCCAGUUUCCCUCAUUCACCCUGAUUUUCCACGUUGGAAAUAGCAGCACUAGCCUGACCUCCCCUCCCCUCCAUCAGCUGCACACCUUUGCUGCUUUUUAAAAAUCACUCCUGCCUACUUUCUCCCUCUUCAAUGCUAAUUCAGGGGUGCUGGGGCUUCACAGACCACAAAUCAGUAGCAAUUUACCAGUCCACACCGGACAGGCUUGUGCCUUAAUAACAAUCAAAGACAGUAAAGCCACAAUUCAGGCAACAGAAAAGACAAGAAGAUGCUGACAGGAAUAAGAAUGGAAGUACUGUCAUCUGAUCUUUAUAAAAUGUGAGUGAAUGAAGGAUAGUAAUUCCAGACCAAACAGCUAGUGUGGAACAAAGACUUGGAUUGAAACGUAACCUGCACAUUUGAAACUUGUGGGGCUGAACUCAGUUAAUCUUUUUACUUUAUCAAUGUAUAUAUUUCUCUAAGGCACACCCGUCGCUAAUCCCAUGCAUGGCAGCCCUUGCAAGAGUUCGUGAGUGAGCUGCCAGCAGGGGGAGAGGAAAGCGGUGGCACCAGCAAACAGGCAGGAGAAACAGGAAACAAAACAGUGGGGGAGAAAACAGCAGUGACAGGUGGGUGGAGGAAGAAAAUGGCGGCUGCAAGCAGGGAAAGAAAACAGCAAUGGUGGGUGGGCAAAACUAGAGGCACAGAUGCUCUGCACCCAGCCCUGCUAGUAAUGCAUUAUUUGACUUAAGUGAUCUUGUAAAGUCUUUGUUAAUAACUGGACAGUUCUUUACUGUAGACCAACCAUCAUCAUUUGUUGGGGGUCACAAUUCUCAGGGCAACGGGAGAAGGGAGAAUGUACUGUAUUUUUGAAUACUUGUUCCAGAUUGUUUUGAAACUCCCAAAGGCAUCCGUGCAUUCUUAAAACAUGACAUAUAUUUUAUUCCUUUUCUUACAACGACAAAGUCUAGAAAUACUUCCCAAAAAUAAAAACUUUCUUAUGUGUUUGAAACAUUUGGGAUUCUUAGAGAACAGUUAUAGGAUCUGCCCUACUACUACUACUACUACUACUACUACUACAACUACAAUAUUUAUAUACAGUAUUGUUUUUCAGAAAAAAGUUCUAAGAAGA